rnacentral:rRNA from 1 species
GGGUUGUGAGGUUAAGCGACUAAGCGUACACGGUGGAUGCCCUGGCAGUCAGAGGCGAUGAAGGACGUGCUAAUCUGCGAUAAGCGUCGGUAAGGUGAUAUGAACCGUUAUAACCGGCGAUUUCCGAAUGGGGAAACCCAGUGUGAUUCGUCACACUAUCAUUAACUGAAUCCAUAGGUUAAUGAGGCGAACCGGGGGAACUGAAACAUCUAAGUACCCCGAGGAAAAGAAAUCAACCGAGAUUCCCCCAGUAGCGGCGAGCGAACGGGGAGCAGCCCAGAGCCUGAAUCAGUGUGUGUGUUAGUGGAAGCGUCUGGAAAGGCGCGCGAUACAGGGUGACAGCCCCGUACACAAAAAUGCACAUGCUGUGAGCUCGAUGAGUAGGGCGGGACACGUGGUAUCCUGUCUGAAUAUGGGGGGACCAUCCUCCAAGGCUAAAUACUCCUGACUGACCGAUAGUGAACCAGUACCGUGAGGGAAAGGCGAAAAGAACCCCGGCGAGGGGAGUGAAAAAGAACCUGAAACCGUGUACGUACAAGCAGUGGGAGCACGCUUAGGCGUGUGACUGCGUACCUUUUGUAUAAUGGGUCAGCGACUUAUAUUCUGUAGCAAGGUUAACCGAAUAGGGGAGCCGAAGGGAAACCGAGUCUUAACUGGGCGUUAAGUUGCAGGGUAUAGACCCGAAACCCGGUGAUCUAGCCAUGGGCAGGUUGAAGGUUGGGUAACACUAACUGGAGGACCGAACCGACUAAUGUUGAAAAAUUAGCGGAUGACUUGUGGCUGGGGGUGAAAGGCCAAUCAAACCGGGAGAUAGCUGGUUCUCCCCGAAAGCUAUUUAGGUAGCGCCUCGUGAAUUCAUCUCCGGGGGUAGAGCACUGUUUCGGCAAGGGGGUCAUCCCGACUUACCAACCCGAUGCAAACUGCGAAUACCGGAGAAUGUUAUCACGGGAGACACACGGCGGGUGCUAACGUCCGUCGUGAAGAGGGAAACAACCCAGACCGCCAGCUAAGGUCCCAAAGUCAUGGUUAAGUGGGAAACGAUGUGGGAAGGCCCAGACAGCCAGGAUGUUGGCUUAGAAGCAGCCAUCAUUUAAAGAAAGCGUAAUAGCUCACUGGUCGAGUCGGCCUGCGCGGAAGAUGUAACGGGGCUAAACCAUGCACCGAAGCUGCGGCAGCGACGCUUAUGCGUUGUUGGGUAGGGGAGCGUUCUGUAAGCCUGUGAAGGUGUGCUGUGAGGCAUGCUGGAGGUAUCAGAAGUGCGAAUGCUGACAUAAGUAACGAUAAAGCGGGUGAAAAGCCCGCUCGCCGGAAGACCAAGGGUUCCUGUCCAACGUUAAUCGGGGCAGGGUGAGUCGACCCCUAAGGCGAGGCCGAAAGGCGUAGUCGAUGGGAAACAGGUUAAUAUUCCUGUACUUGGUGUUACUGCGAAGGGGGGACGGAGAAGGCUAUGUUGGCCGGGCGACGGUUGUCCCGGUUUAAGCGUGUAGGCUGGUUUUCCAGGCAAAUCCGGAAAAUCAAGGCUGAGGCGUGAUGACGAGGCACUACGGUGCUGAAGCAACAAAUGCCCUGCUUCCAGGAAAAGCCUCUAAGCAUCAGGUAACAUCAAAUCGUACCCCAAACCGACACAGGUGGUCAGGUAGAGAAUACCAAGGCGCUUGAGAGAACUCGGGUGAAGGAACUAGGCAAAAUGGUGCCGUAACUUCGGGAGAAGGCACGCUGAUAUGUAGGUGAAGUCCCUCGCGGAUGGAGCUGAAAUCAGUCGAAGAUACCAGCUGGCUGCAACUGUUUAUUAAAAACACAGCACUGUGCAAACACGAAAGUGGACGUAUACGGUGUGACGCCUGCCCGGUGCCGGAAGGUUAAUUGAUGGGGUCAGCGCAAGCGAAGCUCUUGAUCGAAGCCCCGGUAAACGGCGGCCGUAACUAUAACGGUCCUAAGGUAGCGAAAUUCCUUGUCGGGUAAGUUCCGACCUGCACGAAUGGCGUAAUGAUGGCCAGGCUGUCUCCACCCGAGACUCAGUGAAAUUGAACUCGCUGUGAAGAUGCAGUGUACCCGCGGCAAGACGGAAAGACCCCGUGAACCUUUACUAUAGCUUGACACUGAACAUUGAGCCUUGAUGUGUAGGAUAGGUGGGAGGCUUUGAAGUGUGGACGCCAGUCUGCAUGGAGCCGACCUUGAAAUACCACCCUUUAAUGUUUGAUGUUCUAACGUUGACCCGUAAUCCGGGUUGCGGACAGUGUCUGGUGGGUAGUUUGACUGGGGCGGUCUCCUCCUAAAGAGUAACGGAGGAGCACGAAGGUUGGCUAAUCCUGGUCGGACAUCAGGAGGUUAGUGCAAUGGCAUAAGCCAGCUUGACUGCGAGCGUGACGGCGCGAGCAGGUGCGAAAGCAGGUCAUAGUGAUCCGGUGGUUCUGAAUGGAAGGGCCAUCGCUCAACGGAUAAAAGGUACUCCGGGGAUAACAGGCUGAUACCGCCCAAGAGUUCAUAUCGACGGCGGUGUUUGGCACCUCGAUGUCGGCUCAUCACAUCCUGGGGCUGAAGUAGGUCCCAAGGGUAUGGCUGUUCGCCAUUUAAAGUGGUACGCGAGCUGGGUUUAGAACGUCGUGAGACAGUUCGGUCCCUAUCUGCCGUGGGCGCUGGAGAACUGAGGGGGGCUGCUCCUAGUACGAGAGGACCGGAGUGGACGCAUCACUGGUGUUCGGGUUGUCAUGCCAAUGGCACUGCCCGGUAGCUAAAUGCGGAAGAGAUAAGUGCUGAAAGCAUCUAAGCACGAAACUUGCCCCGAGAUGAGUUCUCCCUGACUCCUUGAGAGUCCUGAAGGAACGUUGAAGACGACGACGUUGAUAGGCCGGGUGUGUAAGCGCAGCGAUGCGUUGAGCUAACCGGUACUAAUGAACCGUGAGGCUUAACCUUACAACGCCGAAGCUGUU